rnacentral:rRNA from 1 species
UACAGAGGUCUCAAGCGUUGUUCGGAUUCAUUGGGCGUAAAGAGCUCGUAGGCGGUUUGUCACGUCGGAUGUGAAACCCUGAGGCUCAACCUCAGGCCUGCAUUCGAUACGGGCAGACUAGAAUUCGGCAGGGGAGACUGGAAUUCCUGGUGUAGCGGUGAAAUGCGCAGAUAUCAGGAGGAACACCGGUGGCGAAGGCGGCACUCUGGGCCGAUACUGACACUGAGGAGCGAAAGCGUGGGGAGCGAACAGG